UAGGGAAUCUUCCACAAUGGACGCAAGUCUGAUGGAGCAACGCCGCGUGAGUGAAGAAGGUCUUCGGAUCGUAAAACUCUGUUGUUAGAGAAGAACACGAGUGAGAGUAACUGUUCAUUCGAUGACGGUAUCUAACCAGCAAGUCGCGGCUAACUACGUGCCUG
rnacentral:rRNA from 1 species